AAGGGGAAGUAAGGAGAAGAGAAGAGAGGAACCGGGGAAGAACACAGAGAGGAGAAUGGGGCUGUAGCCAAACUUUUAUUCAAUCAAAUUCAUCAUCUCCAAAUUACAAACCAAGAUAGGUUUAAAUAAUAAAAACCUAGAAAUAUAGGGUCAAGCCCAUUACUUAAGUCCUAACUAAAAUACGUAAACUUAAAUAAAAGUCCAAUUGAAACAAUAAUAAAAGUCCAACUAAAAUACUGAAACAAUAAUAAAAAUCCAACUAUAAUGAUGUCCUCAUCAAUCUAACUCUCCAUAAAGGAAUGCAUUCAUCACGUCUAGUUGCCAUAAUUUCCAGCCUUCGAAAGCAACCAAUGAAAUAAUUGUUCGAACAGUCAAUAUUUUAGCAACAGGGCUGUAAGUUUCCUUGUAGUCUAAACCAUAUUGUUGGGAAAAAUCACGAGCAACAAGUCAGGCUUUAUACCUAUUAAUAGUACCAUUGACCUUUUUCUUCAACUUGUAAAUCCGUUUACAAGUAACCAAACUAGUGUUCUUAAGCUUUGGAGCAAGCUACCAAGUGUUGUUCUUGUGUAAAGCUGAUAUUUCCUCCUACAUUGCCUCUUCCCAUUCAGAAAUCCCUUUAGCUUCAUUGUAGGAUUUAGGCUCAUUCCCACCUGAAUCUCCCAUGAAAAAGCAAGAUAAAACAGAAAAAUAAUUUAACUGAACUUCAUAAUCAGCUAGAUGAUCAGGUUGCUUUCUUUGCCUAGAAGACCUUCGAAUUAUAGUUUCAAUAGCCUCGUCUUGUUGAAUGUUUUCUCCAGAUGGAAUAGUAUUGCUCCCCCUUUCACUUGAUGCAACAUCACUAAAGAAAGGCCCAAGAUCAACCGUGCUACUAUCCUUGUUAUCAACUUGAUGCAAUGCCACUUUAUCAAACACUACAUCACCGGAAACAAUAACAUUCAUUGUUUCUGGAUCCAUACAUCUCCAUCCUUUCCUAUGAGUAUCAUAACCAACAAAAAUACAACACCUUGCCCUUGGAUCAAGUUUAGUCUGAUUAUUUUUCAGUAUAUGGACAUAACAAAUGGAACCAAAAACUCGAAAAUAACUCACAUUCGGUGUGUGGUGGAAUAAUGCUUCAAAAGGUGAUUAUUCUAUCCCUGGCCAAGGAGGUAUGCGAUUUAUGACAUGACAGGUAGAUUGAAUAGCUGCUGCCCAUAACUCUCUUGCAAGAUUCUUUUCAUGCAACCACGACAAGCAUAUAGCCGUUAGAUGUACCAACUUGUGUUCAACAACCCCAUUUUGUUGUGGAGUUUCUGGAAACGUUAUCUUACAUCGAAUUCCAUGCUUCCUGCAGUAUUCAAGGAAUUCAUUGGAUAUAUAUUCCCCUCCAUUAUCGGUGUGUAAACACUUUAUUGGUAGCCCAAAUUCCUUCUCCAUCUACUCUUUGAAUUGAAUAAAAUUGGAGAGAGCUUCACUUUUGUUUUCCAAGAAAUAUACCCAAGUGAAACGAGAAAAGUCAUCCACAAUAACCAUCACAUAAUGAAAACCAAUAAAACAAGGUAUUUUUAUUGGUCCCAUAAGAUCUGAAUGAACUAGCCGUAGUGCUGUAGAUGCUCUAUUCUUUGAAUUUGGGAAACGAAGCCAAUGUGAUUUUCCAUAUUGUCAACCAGCACACACCACAUCAAGAUGAAAAUCUUUAAAUAGAGGAACUCCAUCCAGAAGUUUCUUUGUGGAAAUUUUCUGUAGUAACUGAUUACCAACAUGGCCUAACCGAGCAUGCCAAAGUGCCACACUUGCAUUUUGGCCUCUCUUUUCAACAUAAGCAUCACUUGUAGACAAAACAUAUAGUGAUUCUCUCCUUUUUCUAGUAAGUAAAACAUCAGCAACAAUAUGUUUUACAUUUGAAAGAAUAUGUACAUUAUUUGGACCAAAAAGUACAUACCUCCCAGAAUCAACUAAUUGAGAGACUGAGGCGAGAUUCUUCUUUAAACCUAGAACAUGAUAUACAUUUUUGAGAAAAAUACCAUCAGCAUUUGAUGUAUCAGUUCUAAAAUUAAGAAGCCCUUCUUUAACUACAGGAUGCAGCAAAUUAUCGGCUAUUAUAAUAACUCUUUUUUCACAAUGCAGAUGAACAUCAAAAAGUAACGAAACAUUUCCAGUUGCAUGAUGAGAGCUUCCAAAAUCAAUUAUCCAAUCCUUGUUGUAGUCUAUGGAAACAUUAGCAUCAAUAUCUAUAUCAGUCUGAUGCACUUCAAAAGUCAUGUUAGUCAGUUGAUCAAUAGCUUCAAUGGAUAAGCAUUGCUCUCAUUUGUGCUGUUCAGAUUUACUAGCUUCAUGUACAACAUUCGAUCAUUCUUUUGUGAGAUCAACACUACAAUUUUGUUUAAUAUGGCCUGAUUUUCCACAUCGACUACACACUACAUUCACUCGACAAUCGUGCUUUAUGUGUCCCAGCUUUCCACAUCUAUAACAAGUUUUUGAAUUUCCCUUGGAUUGUCCCCUUGUUCUGGAUUGCUUGCCAUCACCAGAAUACUGCUUAGAGAAAAAAAUCUUUUUUUCUUGGUCCUUGGUGUAAAGAACGUUCUCAACUUGAGAGAGAGACUUGUUGCUAUAGUUGGAUAUUUGUUUCAGCAGUGCUUCUUGAUUUGAGAGCAAGUUCUCCAACUCAAUGAUAGUAGGUUGAUUUGCCCACCCUUGUAUCGAAGAGAUAAAGGGCAUAAAUUCUUUUCGCAAUCCACGAAUGAGAUAACGGCGCAAACGAGCAUCACUCACAAGUUCCUCUGCAUCUAAUUCUGAUAUAUCAGAACACAAGGUUUGAAGUUUCAAAAAAUAAUAUGAAACUGAAAGGUUACCUUGAGGCAUCCCUGCAAGUUCAUUCUCUAAAUAUUGCAGCCUCGUCGUGUUCUUUUGAGUGAACAGCCUUUCAAGUGUUUCCCACACUUUCUUUGGUGACUCCUCAUCACGAACAUGCUCGAUGUACUCUUUACUGAUCGAUGUUCACAAAGCAAAUAAAGCUUUGCCACACUUUAUCUUCCAUUUCCUCCUUAACUCAACAUUUUGUGGCAUAUCUUCUGAAAUCACAUCAUCACUAGAAAUAAGUUCUCACAAAUCCCGUCCUUGUAGAUAAGCUUCCAUGCAUAGCUUCUAGUAAUUAUAAUUGUUUAACAAGUUUGUCUACAGAGAUACUAGUUCCACCAUUCAUAUUCUCUGAGUAAUAAAAUCAAACACUUGAUAGGCAACCAAGCUCUGAUACCAUGUAACAAAUUAUGGCAGAAUAAAAAGAUUAAAGAAGUAGGAAAAACAUUAGAGAAAUAGAGGAGAUGAAAAGAACAGAUUUUAUUCUUCAAUCUGCAUUCUAUUUCUCGAUGAGAACUAGAACCAGAAAAAUGAGAAAUUGAAGUGCUACAAUGAUGAAUCAGCAGCUUACAAGAGGAAUUUAUACUAAGAAAUUCUCCUAAAGUUUCUCAACUAAUCAAACUGAAAAAACCCAACGUGUUCCUAAACUUAUUAACCUAACAAAAGACCAAUUCCGCUAAUUGACUCCUAACUUAUUCAUUUUUUUUUUUUUUUUUACUCAUUCAACAUUACAUACGGUUGCAAUAAGUUGCACUAAAUUGUAACAUGGGGUGCGUAGGGAAGAAGAUGAACAGUUCAACUUUUUUUAGAUUAUUUAUUUAUUUAUUUAUUUAUUUCUUGGUUUGAUUGACAAUCAAAUAGACGAAUUCCGUCAUAUGUCCUCCCACUGCAAUUGAUGUAAAAGAUUUUGGACCCUAGUUGCAAAAAAUGAAAGAU
rnacentral:lncRNA from 1 species